UCUCUCUUCUUUUUCUAUUGGUUGUCCUUGUCGUGGUCAUUGCUGCACUGCAGUGGAGAUUUUGACUUUCAAUCAUCUAUUAUCGCGCUCUCUUGUCCCCUCUGUUCUCGGGUAACAUGAGUAAGGAGGAGUUUUUUCAUCGAAACUUUCACUACUCCAAACUGUGAAGCUGUGAGGAGAUAUCGGUUGGCAUGCCCAUGCGUCGUCGCUUGUUGCACAGACGGGGUGAAUUUGCU
rnacentral:lncRNA from 1 species